CAUUUCCUUAAGUUUUGAUCUCCGUCUUCCUGAUGAAGCAGGCAGAGCUCAGAGGAUCUUGGCAUCACCCACCAAAGUUAGCUGAAAGCAGGGCACUCCUGGAUAAAGCAGCUUCACUCAACUCUGGGGAAUGCUACCAUUUUUUUUCCAAAGUAGAAAGGAAGCACUUCUGAGCCAGUGACCACUGAAAGAUGAACACUCUUCCUGAUCCUCUCCUCUAGAAUUCAUCUCCUCCUGCUAGCAGCCGCGUCCUGGAGGAGCAGCGGAUGGGGAAUCCAUUCUGUUUCUUCCUGGUGUUUAGGAAGUUGCCCCACACACAGAUUGCCCCGAUGUCCAACCAGAAGAAGUGAAACUGCUGCUGGGUCUGGAGAGGUGAAGACCCGUGGCCAGCUUCUGUUGUUGCCAUCGGCCAUUGCUUUUUGUUCGCUUGCUUUUGGUUUUGCAAGAAGAGCGGCCUCUGUCUCUGAUCUGCUUCAAAUCAUCAUUCCAUCAGUGACAGAAGUGGCUGUUCCAUCAGUGGUCGCAGCCAGUUCAGCUCCUGCAUCCAUCCCCAAGUGUUCUGAGUGGAAUUUGAGGCCUCCCCAACCACCUACCAAAAAAGGAGGGUGAAAUGAAAGGAAGAAGAAAAACUCAGCAUUCUUUCCUCUGACAAAGAGUAAAACGACAAGGAAUAUCGGCCUGAAUUCUCUUCCCAAGAAGAAAGAAAGCACACCAACGCAGGCAUUUGUCUUCUGUCCAUGGUGCUGAAGUUUAUUCACUUUCAAACCACUUUCAGUAACAGCAAAUUCUUUAGAAAAGGAAAAUACAGGGAAAGGGAUAAACCUCACUGACUUGGAGGAAAUCAAGAGGAGUGAGCACAGCAUCAGAAAGCCCCCUGGCCCCAGACUGCACCCGCUUUCCUGGCCCUACCUUGAAAUCCAUCAGGUCUGCGUUGGACACGGCAUUGUACAUGGGAUUAGCUCUGGUCUGACCUAGGAGCUGGAAUGCCAGUAAAAGGAGGAAGCUCACGGUGGUGGUGGAGAAGGAGCUCAU
rnacentral:lncRNA from 1 species